GAAAGCCUGACAGUUAAGCUGCCAGAUUUCUCAAGAGACUUAUCCGGCCGGCUACAGACCCUUUAGACCCAAUAAUAACGGUUACCACUCGAGCCGCCGGUGUUACCGCGGCGGCUGGCACCGGUCUUGCCCGGCCCUUGCUAUGAAAUGCUUUUUAGGCAUCUCGACAGCCAGAUUUGUAACCUGGCACUCGAGGUUCCCUUAUCGCUGUUGCCAGCAUUGUAAAGUUUUCGCGCCUGCUGCACCCCGUAGGGCCUGGAUUCGUGUCUCAGAAUCCAUCUCCGGGCUCUUGCUCUCACAACCCGUACCCGUCGUAGGCUAGUAGGUACGCUACACCCACUACUACCUGAUAGGCCGCAGACCCAUCCUUAGGCGCCGGAGCUUUAAAUCUCGAUGCAUUCCAGCAAUCGAGACCUAUCGGGUAUUAUACCCAGUUUCCCGGGUUUAUACCCAACCUAAGGCAGUUGUCCACGUGUUACUGA
rnacentral:rRNA from 1 species